AUGCAGCAGUUUAGCAAGGGAAGUUGUAAAGGUGAUGAGGGCCAUCGAGAUGAGAACCAAAGCAACGCUCCUCCAAUCCCAGAACAGGUUCAGAUCGAUGAUUCCCCAGUUUACAGAAUAGAAAGAAAACUGGGAAAGGGAGGUUUCGGGCAAGUUUACAUCGGUCAACCCAUCGGUCCAACUUCAAGUGAUCAAACUCGUGCACAAAAAGCAGAGGUGGCCAUAAAAUUCGAGCAUAAAGACAGCAAAGGAUGUGAAGGUGGCAUCCCUAAUGAGUGGAAAGUUUAUGAUGAUCUGGGUGAGGGUCACGGGAUACCACUGCCACUAGUACAUUACAAGGGGCAACAAGGAGACUAUUAUGUCAUGGUCAUGGAUUUGCUUGGACCUAGUUUACAAGCCCAUUUGGUCAACAACGUCCCAACGUAUGUUUCCUUCCUUCCAUUAGAAGCAAUUGCAUGUAUUGCCAUUGAAGCUAUAUCUAUACUUGAGAAGCUGCACUCUAGAGGGUAUAUCCAUGGUGACAUAAAACCAGGUAACUUUUUGCUUGGUCCUCCAGGAACUCGUGAAGAGAAAACAUUGUUUCUGACUGACCUUGGAUUAGCUACAAGAUGGCAAGAUCCCUCCACUGGUUCACACGUUAAGUACAACCAAACUCCAGGAAAUUUCAGAGGAACAAUUCUAUUUGCAAGUGUGCACAGUCAACUUGGCAGAACAAGUAGCAGAAGAAACGACCUAGAGUCUCUGGUUUACAUGCUCAUUUAUCUUAUCCGCGGCCAUUUGCCUUGGCAAGGACAUCAGGGAGAGGAUACGUCUUUCCCUGUUUGCAAGCAAAAGAGGGCCACUCCUCCAGACACACUGUGCGACACUUGUCCUGAGCCUUACCUGCAGUUCACGACAUUUGUGCUUAGUCUGAAAUUCGAUGAAGAACCAAACUACGCUAGAUACAUUUCUCUCUUCCGUGGGAUCAUUGGUCAAAAUCCAUAUGUUUGGCCCGUGCACACCGAUGUCACUCAGGAGGUAGUGUAUCAGGUACCAUGGAAGCAAGUGCAGUUAAAUGACGAUGACGAGCCAUCAAAGAAAAUACAGAAACUAACACGAUGGAUAAGCAUUUAUGAUGUGCAUCCACCCAUGAAGCAAAGAUACUGCUCUAAUUUGGAUUAUGUCGACCUGAUCUUCCAUAUUGAGAAGGGACAUGCUGAGGGAAUGCACAUCACCAGUGUGACUUACAGUUUUCGCUCUAAGUCAUGGGCCUUAAUACUGGAUGAUAGCGCCCGCUACACUGCUCAGAAUUAUGCUUUUUCAUGCGGCUCUCUUCACAAGGAAUGGAUUGAGAAACAAUGGUCGGAGAACUUCUACAUCACUGCAGUGGCUGGAGCAGAUGACAACAGAUUUCUAGUUGUAAUGUCCAAGGGGACCUGGAAUAUUCAGCAGUCUUGUUGUGUUUUUGAAAUAUUUCCUUUCAAAUGGAUCAAGAAGAAGUGGGCAGAAGGUCUUUACGUCACCGCCAUUGCCACUUCCGGAAGCCAGUGGGCAGUAGUUUCAACCAAAGGAACCAGAUUUACCGACCAGGCCAUAGAGCUAGACUUUCAGUAUCCAGCCGAAGGCAUUCGUGAAAGGUUGAAGCAGGGCUAUCAUAUCACUUCGGUCGCAGCCAAUCUGGAUGAAGUUGCUUUUAUCUUCAGUAUUCCUGGAGGAGCAGCAACCGCAAGUGUAGAGCAAGAGAUGCUUCAGACUUCCAAUUUUCCUAAUGAUAGUGAGAUCAAGGAGAAGUGGGCAAGGAAUUACUAUAUUUCUUCUCUUUGCUGCGGUUGAACCAUUGCUUCGGCUACCAAGUAUAAGUACAAUCAAGGAUGUCUCAGCGAGUGA